UAAAGAGGACAUUUAUACUGUACAUUUGUUUUAAGUGUUUUUCAACGUCAGACACCCCUCUCUCUCGCUCCCCAGCCAUACGCCAUCAUCACCCCCAGCUGUUAUGAGGACUUGGACCAGGAACUACGACAGAUGAACCCAGGGUGGGGUCUAGCAGACAUCGACGUUCUGAGACAGCUGGCGUUUGGGAACGGGAUGCGUAUGGAGAGGAUGAUAGAGAUGGAACAGUAUAAUAAAUGCCUGGUCUUCAGAAACGUUGACAUGAAAACAGGGCUUCUUCGCAUCUGAACAAACAUCCUAAU